UCUCCAGCAGCCUCUGAGCCCACACCCUGUUUCCUCCAUCAGAACAGCUGAACAGAGCGGUGGCAGGCUCACAUUCCGACCCACUCUUUGUUCCCCGAGGAAGAUCUGACUUCUGACCUGGGAAGAUACUUAAGGCUCUCAGAAGCUCACCCACUUUGCCCUCUGGCACAGCCCUGGUUAUUGGAACACCACCAGCCUCCCGAAGGUGUGCCUCCCUCUGUGGUUCUUGAACAAACACAGACGAGCGAGACUGUUAUUUCACAGUCUCUUUCUCCACUCACCUGCUGCUGAUGGCAUCCAGGCUGCUUCCAUGGCGUGGCUGUUGUGAGUGGCACCGCUACAAGCUCGG